CCAGCACCCCGAGUGGUCGGGACGAUUAUUGGGCCUAAAGCAUCCGUAGCCGGUUUUACAAGUCCUCCGUUAAAUCCAACUGCUUAACAGAUGGGCCGCGGAGGAUACUAUAAGACUAGGAGGCAGGAGAGGCAAGCGGUACUCAGUGGGUAGGGGUAAAAUCCAUUGAUCCAUUGAAGACCACCAGUGGCGAAGGCGGCUUGCCAGAACGCGCUCGACGGUGAGGGAUGAAAGCUGGGGGAGCAAACCGGAUUAGAUACCCGGGUAGUCCCAGCUGUAAACGAUGCAGACUCGGUGAUGGACUAGCUUCAUGCUAGUCCAGUGCCGCAGGGAAGCCGUUAAGUCUGCCGCCUGGGUAGUACGGUCGCAAGACUG
rnacentral:rRNA from 1 species